AUGAACGCUAGCGACAGGCUUAACACAUGCAAGUCGAGGGGCAGCACAGGUAGCAAUACCGGGUGGCGACCGGCGCACGGGUGAGUAACGCGUAUGCAACUUGCCUAUCAGAGGGGGAUAACCCGGCGAAAGUCGGACUAAUACCGCAUGAAGCAGGGAUCCCGCAUGGGAAUAUUUGCUAAAGAUUCAUCGCUGAUAGAUAGGCAUGCGUUCCAUUAGGCAGUUGGCGGGGUAACGGCCCACCAAACCGACGAUGGAUAGGGGUUCUGAGAGGAAGGUCCCCCACAUUGGUACUGAGACACGGACCAAACUCCUACGGGAGGCAGCAGUGAGGAAUAUUGGUCAAUGGCCGAGAGGCUGAACCAGCCAAGUCGCGUGAGGGAUGAAGGUUCUAUGGAUCGUAAACCUCUUUUAUAAGGGAAUAAAGUGCGGGACGUGUCCCGUUUUGUAUGUACCUUAUGAAUAAGGAUCGGCUAACUCCGUGCCAGCAGCCGCGGUAAUACGGAGGAUCCGAGCGUUAUCCGGAUUUAUUGGGUUUAAAGGGUGCGUAGGCGGCCUUUUAAGUCAGCGGUGAAAGUCUGUGGCUCAACCAUAGAAUUGCCGUUGAAACUGGGGGGCUUGAGUAUGUUUGAGGCAGGCGGAAUGCGUGGUGUAGCGGUGAAAUGCAUAGAUAUCACGCAGAACCCCGAUUGCGAAGGCAGCCUGCCAAGCCAUGACUGACGCUGAUGCACGAAAGCGUGGGGAUCAAACAGGAUUAGAUACCCUGGUAGUCCACGCAGUAAACGAUGAUCACUAGCUGUUUGCGGUACACUGUAAGCGGCACAGCGAAAGCGUUAAGUGAUCCACCUGGGGAGUACGCCGGCAACGGUGAAACUCAAAGGAAUUGACGGGGGCCCGCACAAGCGGAGGAACAUGUGGUUUAAUUCGAUGAUACGCGAGGAACCUUACCCGGGUUUGAACGCAUUCGGACCGAGGUGGAAACACCUUUUCUAGCAAUAGCCGUUUGCGAGGUGCUGCAUGGUUGUCGUCAGCUCGUGCCGUGAGGUGUCGGCUUAAGUGCCAUAACGAGCGCAACCCUUGCCACUAGUUACUAACAGGUGAUGCUGAGGACUCUGGUGGGACUGCCAGCGUAAGCUGCGAGGAAGGCGGGGAUGACGUCAAAUCAGCACGGCCCUUACAUCCGGGGCGACACACGUGUUACAAUGGCGUGGACAAAGGGAAGCCACCUGGCGACAGGGAGCGAAUCCCCAAACCACGUCUCAGUUCGGAUCGGAGUCUGCAACCCGACUCCGUGAAGCUGGAUUCGCUAGUAAUCGCGCAUCAGCCAUGGCGCGGUGAAUACGUUCCCGGGCCUUGUACACACCGCCCGUCAAGCCAUGGGAGCCGGGGGUACCUGAAGUCCGUAACCGCGAGGAUCGGCCUAGGGUA
rnacentral:rRNA from 1 species